GCCACCCAAGGAAGCUUCAAAAGACACGUUUGCAUACCAUCUCAUUUAUGGUUUUAGAGCACCACCAAAAGGCUGGUUUCAUAAUUACAUCAUGAACAAAUGUCUUUCUGUUGUUUGUCAUCUGAUAAAAGAAAAAAAGAAGAAAGAGGCAUUGUAUUUUUUAAUCAUGAUUCAAUCACUGUGAUAAUGCUUGAUUUACCGGUAAUUACUUCACAAGUAAUCUAUCACUCUGUGUGUUUAACCAGUUUAGUAGUAAAGAACCAUGAAAAGAAAAAAAUAGAUCAUGUGACUGUCUCAGCCAAUCCGAAGUUUGUACAGUCAGGACAAGAGAUAACAUUGUGUUAGUUUUAGUUUGAGUUGUAAAGAAGAGGAGAGAGAACCAGCAGCGAGAGGAUACAGGAGUUUCCAGGUUUCUACUCCCUUCGGGGACAUUUUAUUUAUUUUUAUUUUAAUUUUUUAGUUCACUUUUAAAGUGCUGGGACUGGAUUUAUUUGGGAACCGAACUGACCAGAACUUCUGUUCAAUCAACACGGACCCGAGCCGACCUCCUCAUUUUCCAGCUGGAGCUGACGAAGCAUUUUCGGUAUGUCCGAACUGUACCCGCGCGGGACCACUCUGAGAUCGGGUGGCACCGGUGAUCCAACCUCGCUCUGACCUUCCGGUACCCUGGGACAGGACUGACGGUUCGCAUCAAAUUUGUAGGAAAGAUCAGCUUUCUACACUUUGGUAGUGUGCUCAGCUGAAGUGGUGAAGGAAGAGUGUUUGGUAACGAUGAUUGCAUUGAAUGAAGAUCUGGCAAGUUCAUUCCUUUAUAAUUCACGUCCUUUCUUGAUAAAUGGAUUAACACUUUCUUUUAUUAAUCUGGAAGUUUUCACUUAUUUUACUAGUGUAGAAAAAGUUUAGAACAAGCGGUUCAGUGAAUAAUAAUGCGAAAGGUAAUUAUCGGGUGAUGAUAGUCACGUUAUUAUUGAAGACGCAGAGGUCAUGAUAAUAAUUAUGUUUCUGUCUGCCCAAAUAACCUGUCUGUAUUGUUACCUCUGAAUCGUUAAUACAGGGUAUAUUGUGAAAUUCCUUAUGCUCGUGUGCGUCUUUUAUUGGAUUUUCACCGUCCAAACUGGAAAGAAUUCCGUUCUUCAGUAUGUGAGAUUGAGUAAAAAUACACGAUUAAUUUUCUGUUAUGUACAGGUGGUGCCCCUUUACUAUGCUAAUGAGGUAUGAGAAACUUAUAAUUUAGCAACUUUUCAAUAAUUAACAAUAUUCCCCCUACAUUUUUUCUACCGCACAUCUUCAGGGAGAAGAUGGACCUUUUUAUCUUGCUUGGAGAGUGUGAAUCUCAAUCCCCAUACCCAACAAUUCAGUUGACUGGUCAAGAUUGAAAAGUGUCGUUCACCGGGAGAGCUCCAAGCAUUGUGAAGGCAGACGGUGUUGAGGUGUGUCGCACCCAAACAGUUGAUGAAGGGAUCAUCUCAGCCUUUUGCACAUACUUCRUCUUCAAUCUGGCAUACCCAAGACACCUGAAGAACACUGAUGUUCCUCCAAAGGUACAUUGCAAGAAUAGUUGAGGUUUGGGACCGGCCUCUACCAUUAACAGUCACAAGGAAAAUAAAUCUCCUCUAUUGACACUAUGCCUCAUCCCUACCGGUGCCCCAAAUGCUCGAGGAGAGCUUUCACCUUGAUGAAGCUGAUUCAGCACAUAGGACUUAUCCAUGCACAUGAAGCCAACUUCAAAAUUACAUGUGGACUUGAUGAUUGCCAGUCCACAUUUACAAAAUAUGAGUCUUUUAGACGACAUGUGUACCGAAAACACAGAGACAAAAUUUUAGGGUCUGACAAUGAUUGUGGUGAAAGUGAAAGGGAGGUUGUCACUGAUAAUUUGGAUGAGCCUUUGACAGGAAAUGUUAUUGAAAGUCCUCCCUCUUAUGGUGAGCUGUUAACUAGCUUCAAGGACAAUUUAUUUCACUUCAUUCUGAAAUGCAGGGAGAAAAAAUCAUCUUCCAGUUUCUGUUCGAGGAGAUUGUUGAUGAUGUUAAUUUUUUAGUGUUUUUUUUUUUCAAGGAGAAUUACGAUGCUUUUAUUGCUUAUCACAUGCAAAAAAUGGCUUUGAUAUCUCAAAGAGUCCAGAACUAGAAACUGUCAUACAUUCUAAUGAUUUCUUUUAUUGAAGCAACAAAGGCUAUUCGAUCUCCAUA